rnacentral:rRNA from 1 species
UACGUAGGGCGCGAGCGUUGUCCGGAAUUAUUGGGCGUAAAGAGCUCGUAGGCGGCCUGUUGCGUCCGCUGUGAAAUCCCAGGGCUUAACCCUGGGCGUGCAGUGGAUACGGGCAGGCUGGAGGCAGGCAGGGGAGAACGGAAUUCCCGGUGUAGCGGUGAAAUGCGCAGAUAUCGGGAGGAACACCGGUGGCGAAGGCGGUGCUCUGGGCCGGUGCUGACGCUGAGGAGCGAAAGCGUGGGGAGCGAACAGG